rnacentral:rRNA from 1 species
UACAUGGGGUGCAAACGUUGCUCGGAAUUAUUGGGCGUAAAGCGCGCGUAGGCGGUUACUUAAGUCGGAUGUGAAAGCCCUCGGCUUAACUGAGGAAGUGCACCCGAAACUGAGUAGCUAGAGUACGAAAGAGGGUCGCGGAAUUCCCGGUGUAGAGGUGAAAUUCGUAGAUAUCGGGAGGAACACCAGUGGCGAAGGCGGCGACCUGGACGGACAUUGACGCUGAGACGCGAAAGCGUGGGGAGCAAACAGG